CAUUCACGGAGAGUUUGAUCCUGGCUCAGGACGAACGCUGGCGGCGUGCUUAACACAUGCAAGUCGAACGAUGAACCACUUCGGUGGGGAUUAGUGGCGAACGGGUGAGUAACACGUGGGCAAUCUGCCCUGCACUCUGGGACAAGCCCUGGAAACGGGGUCUAAUACCGGAUACUGAACCUU
rnacentral:rRNA from 1 species